CUGAGUAUCUGGGAUGACAGGCUUGAACCCCCGCACCUGGCCUCUUUUCUGUAAUUUUUAAAAAGGUAAAAUGCAUCUUUAGGAGCAAGGUUCAGACUGAAACUUGGUCAGUGAAUGUGAAUGUGAAUGAGGCUGUUUUGAGUGAGUUGCUCUGAAGGCUUCCUUGAAAAGGCUGACUUUGGAGCAGAGGCGUGAAUGAAGAGAGGAAGGAGAGCUGUGAACACUUAGGAGAAGAGUAGUGUUUUGUUGCUGGGAGUUGAUUUACCGCCAAGUGUUGACCUUUUCAUGUGUUCAUGCACAUUCGUGUUGUUUCUAGGCUUUGCUGUUAUGAACAAGGCUACUACAAGCAUUCAUGGACAAACCUUUGUGUGGUCAUAUGCUCUAAUGUAUCUCUGGCAAAUGCUAAGAGCAGAAUAAUUGGGCAACAUUAACACCAAGGGCUCGCCAUCAGUAAAAAGAGACUCUUCCCAUCAAGACCUUAUCUACCUGGGACCUGCCAUGUGAGAAAUCCAGAAACCUCCUUUUUCCAUAAGGAAGCCAUCAGGAGCUAAAUUAUUCUUUACAUACUAAAAGAAUGAGCUAAGUGGUUUUCAAUAUUACAUGUUAACUGUAGACUUUUAUCAUGGAAAAUGUUGUGCCUCUGGACUUACGGCGACCUCAAAAUAUUUAGGACCAACCAUUUAUUUUGCUUGUAAAUGGAGCCUAAAAGCCUACAUUUUUCAGGUGAGAAAAUCUACCUAAGCUGACCCAAAGUGCAGUUUUAUUUUAUCUUAUGGAAGGAAUUAUCACAGCACUGUGGAAAAAAAAUCACCAUGCUCUUAGCAGACCCCUGAGAGGUGAAAUGCAGCUGCUGGCUUCAGAGGAUCUUGCCUUGUAUGCCUCAGAGCUGGAGCUUCUGGGACGGGCGUGGUGGCUCACACCUGUAUUCCCAGCACUUUGGGAGACCCAAGCA